CACCCAAGUCUGAAAAGUAGUUGCUAUGCUCCUUUUUUGCAGGGGACUUCCUGUCAUUGGCUUUGGGUAAGGCAGUUCACUGUGUCCUCAGUUCACCUCUGACAGGGCUAAACCAUAUGCAAAUAAUGGGGCAUUUCAGCGUCUGACCGAAAAAAAAAAAAGAAAGAAAAGAAAAAAGAAAGAAGAAACAAAAAAGUAAGCCCAAUUAAUUCUGGUAGCUAUGCAGCAAAGCAGACAGUUAUGAAUGUGAUCUCCUUGAGGAUAGAGGCUCUUUCUGCUUCUCCUUGAAUCCCCAGCAUUUACCACAGAGCCUGGCACCUGAAUCUGGCACCAUGGCUUCAGUCUUCAUGGAAAAAGGGCGAGAAGAUUCUGAGUGAAGUUAGCCUGUGGAUGUGCAAGAGGCUUCCCAUAGACACAAUGUUGUUAUUUCAGUCAUGUCUGACUCUUCAUGAUCCCGUUUGGGUUUUUCUUG